AAGAUUCUAGUAAACUAAUUACAUAGCCCUGUCAGUGCUAAAUUACAGGUUAAAAAGCCUGUGAAUCUUG
rnacentral:tRNA from 1 species